UUACGAAAUUGCGGGUACUUUGGGCCAACCUCCCAUCCGUGUCUAUUGUACCCUGUUGCUUCGGCGGGCCCGCCGCUUGUCGGCCGCCGGGGGGGCGCCUCUGCCCCCCGGGCCCGUGCCCGCCGGAGACCCCAACACGAACACUGUCUGAAAGCGUGCAGUCUGAGUUGAUUGAAUGCAAUCAGUUAAAACUUUCAACAAUGGAUCUCUUGGUUCCGGCAUCGAUGAAGAACGCAGCGAAAUGCGAUAACUAAUGUGAAUUGCAGAAUUCAGUGAAUCAUCGAGUCUUUGAACGCACAUUGCGCCCCCUGGUAUUCCGGGGGGCAUGCCUGUCCGAGCGUCAUUGCUGCCCUCAAGCCCGGCUUGUGUGUUGGGUCGCCGUCCCCCUCUCCGGGGGGACGGGCCCGAAAGGCAGCGGCGGCACCGCGUCCGAUCCUCGAGCGUAUGGGGCUUUGUCACAUGCUCUGUAGGAUUGGCCGGCGCCUGCCGACGUUUUCCAACCAUUCUUUCCAGGUUGACCUCGGAUCAGGUAGGGAUACCCGCUGAACUUAAGCAAAAAANAAAGGGAGAAGAAAAAA
rnacentral:misc_RNA from 1 species